CACAAGCGGUGGAGUAUGUGGUUAAUUCGAUGCAACGCGAAGAACCUUACCUGGCUUGACAUCCCGGAGACCCUUAGGAAACUAGGGGGUGCUUCCAUCUGGAAGAAUCUGGAGACAGGUGCUGCAUGGCUGUCGUCAGCUCGUGUCGUGAGAUGUUGGGUUAAGUCCCGCAACGAGCGCAACCCUUGCCUUUAGUUGCCAGCAGUUCGGCUGGGCACUCUAAAGGGACUGCCGGUGUUAAACCGGAGGAAGGUGGGGAUGACGUCAAGUCCUCAUGGCCUUUAUGACCAGGGCUACACACGUACUACAAUGGCCGAUACAAAGGGCAGCGACACUGCGAGGUGAAGCCAAUCCCGUAAAAUCGGUCUCAGUCCGGAUUGGAGUCUGCAACUCGACUCCAUGAAGUUGGAAUCGCUAGUAAUCGUGGAUCAGCAUGCCACGGUGAAUACGUUCCCGGGCCUU
rnacentral:rRNA from 1 species